CUACGGGAGGCAGCAGUGAGGAAUUUUGCGCAAUGGGGGAAACCCUGACGCAGCAACGCCGCGUGAGUGAUGAAGGCCCUCGGGUCGUAAAGCUCUGUCAAGUGGGAAGAACCUAUCGAUAUUGAAUAGAUAUUGAUACUGACGGUACCACAAGAGGAAGCACCGGCUAACUCCGUGCCAGCAGGCCGCGGUAAUACGGGGGGUGCAAGCGUUAUUCGGAAUCAUUGGGCGUAAAGGGCGCGCAGGCGGCCUUGUCAGUCAGAUGUGAAAGCCCGGGGCUCAACCCCGGAAGUGCAUUUGGAACUAUGAGGCUUGAGUAUGGGAGAGGGAAGUGGAAUUCCUGGUGUAGCGGUGAAAUGCGUAGAUAUCAGGAGGAACACCGGUGGCGAAGGCGACUUCCUGGACCAAUACUGACGCUGAGGCGCGAAGGCGUGGGGAGCAAACAGGAUUAGAUACCCCCGUAGUC
rnacentral:rRNA from 1 species